UACGUAGGGGGCAAGCGUUGUCCGGAAUUACUGGGCGUAAAGGGUGCGCAGGCGGUUUUUUAAGUCAGAUGUGAAAUACCCGGGCUUAACCUGGGGGGUGCAUUUGAAACUGGGGAACUUGAGUGCAGGAGAGGAAAGUGGAAUUCCUAGUGUAGCGGUGAAAUGCGUAGAUAUUAGGAGGAACACCAGUGGCGAAGGCGACUUUCUGGGCUGUAACUGACGCUGAGGCACGAAAGCGUGGGGAGAAAACAGG
rnacentral:rRNA from 1 species